ensembl:lncRNA
GAGAUUUAUUAACGAGGUCGGCGAGACAGUCAGGGGACAAGGCGUGAACAAGGACGAUUGGAACGCGGAGGCUGAAAAGAAGGCACCAGACUUUGUGAAUGAACAAUGACCGCUCGCAGUGUGAGUGGACUUGUCGGGUGUCCGGACCGGCACAAUUGACGACUCCUGCUUUCGUGAUGCCUUCCACGCUGAAAAACGUCUGUGCAGCAUGCUGCGGCCCAGCUGAUUCAGCUUGCUUUUGAAAAGGACCUGACUCACAAGUUUACGUGUGAGUGGAAGGAUAUGUUGAUGAGGAGGUUCAGCUCGGAGAAACGCGCCUCCCGCUGAGGACAGGGAGGGAGGACAGCGCUGACUCAACUCAAAAUGGCCGAAACAAGUGGCUACACGACGGGGGGGAUGUCGCAGGACUCCACCCUCAUCCUGUCCAGAACUGAGGAGGCCCCCGCUCCCCAGCUGCGUCCCCAGCUGGCUCCCCAGCUGGCUCCGCAGCCCCCUCCUCAGCCUGCUCCCCCUCAACUACCCCCGGCUGAGGAGGGGGACGAGGAGGGAUAUUUGGGAGAUGAUGAGGGGGAUGAUUGAAUUAUUUUUUUAUGUUUGUUUUUGUAUAUAGUUGUGUGGUUUCGUUUAAAUAAUAAUAAAAUCGUUUUUAUUAUAAAA